rnacentral:rRNA from 1 species
GACGAAGGAUGCAAGCGUUAUCCGGAUUCAUUGGGUUUAAAGGGUGCGUAGGCGGCCUGGUAAGUCAGUGGUGAAAUCUCCUCGCUUAACGAGGAAACUGCCAUUGAUACUGCUAGGCUUGAGUACAGAUGCUGUGGGCGGAAUAUGACAUGUAGUGGUGAAAUACAUAGAGAUGUCAUAGAACACCGAUUGCGAAGGCAGCUCACAAAACUGUAACUGACGCUGAGGCACGAAAGUGCGGGGAGCGAACAGG